rnacentral:rRNA from 1 species
AGUGAACGCUGGCGGUAGGCCUAGCACAUGCAAGUCGAACGGCAGCACAGGAGAGCUUGCUCUCUAGGUGGCGAGUGGCGGACGGGUGAGGAAUACAUCGGAAUCUGCCCAGUCGUGGGGGAUAACGUAGGGAAACUUACGCUAAUACCGCAUACGACCUUCGGGUGAAAGAGGGGGAUCGCAAGACCUCUCGCGAUUGGAUGAGCCGAUGUCGGAUUAGCUAGUUAGCGGGGUAAUGGCCCACCAAGGCGACGAUCCGUAGCUGGUCUGAGAGGAUGAUCAGCCACACUGGAACUGAGACACGGUCCAGACUCCUACGGGAGGUAGCAGUGGGGAAUAUUGGACAAUGGGCGCAAGCCUGAUCCAGCCAUACCGCGUGGGUGAAGAAGGCCUUCGGGUUGUAAAGCCCUUUUGUUGGGAAAGAAAUCUUUCAGGCUAAUACCCUGGGAGGAUGACGGUACCCAAAGAAUAAGCACCGGCUAACUUCGUG